CCCACCAGAGAAAGGUUAAAAUUGUAAAAAUGCAUCCUUGCAUCCUCAUUUGAAAGGAGAGAGCCUGUGGAUGCUGUUGAAGGGUUCCUCUGCUUGAAAACAACUGUCUAGGGGAGUCUUUUCUCAGGGUCAGUCACCAAGGUGCACAACUCUGGUAGAAGGGAGAUGGAUUUCUCCCAGGCUGAGGACAGAACUUCUCAGAGUGCACAAGUUCAUUAACAACCUCCUUGAUGUAUGCAGAGACGCUUUGUGCAUGGCUGUCACCAAGGGUGAGGCAGAAGCAAAUAUGGAUUGAUAGUAAGUGUAUAUAGUCCAAACUCAAGGAGGAUUUGUUAGGGAAGUUUAUGUCAUUCAGAGAUUUAAUUGCCUUUGGUCAGUUGAACUUUUCAGGUUGUUCAUAGUGAGCAGUUUCUUCUUUUCUUUUCUCUCUCUCUCUCUCUCUCUCUCUCCCUCCCUCUCUCUCCAUUUCCUUCCUUUUUAUUUUUCUCUUUGUUAAUUAAUGAAGUUAAAAAUUAAGACAUUAAUUUCAAAAGAAAUUCCAACAAAACUGGCUCAUCUCUUAAGAACCCCACCUCAGCCAACUGUUCAUCACAAUUUUAAAAUGCCUCCAGUUCUUAUUUCUCCCAGGUAAACAUAUUAAAAGACAUAUACUGGCUUACUUCCAGAGGCUCCAUUUCUUCCCCUCUUUGACUGAGUGUGUGUGGCCUCUUUCCAGUUCUCUGCUCCAUCUUUGGAUUUUCUCUAGACAAGGUUCUUCUCAUCAGUGCCUCCAUCUCGACGCAUUGCUUCUUUUCAUUGACUAUUUCCUGGUGCUGGGAUGACACACUCAUGCUUUCUGGCCCUCUCCUGGCCUAACCACCUGUUGUUGUGUUUGUUUGUUUGUUUUUUGAAUUUACUCACUCAUACAACUCUGUCUUUGGCUUAUACUCUGUUUGAUUUGGUUUGGGCUCUAACUCCAGGAAUGUACCUUCAUUGCAAGUUAACCCAUCAUGAUAAGAGCUUGCCAUCUGGAGUCAGGUGACUUUGAUUUCAGUUUCAGCUCCACCUUCCUCUUGCCUUGUGAGAUAAAAAUGAAGUCCGUUGUUCUCAACCGGAAGCAGUUUUAUCUCUCGGGUGACAUUUGGCCAUGUUUGGACUAUUUCUGGUUGUCAUAAUUGGGGGUUGUUAGUAGAAUCCAGUGACCAGAAGCCGGGGUGCUGCCAAACUACCAUGCUCUAGACAGCUCCUCACAAAGGAAAAAUUGUUUAGCCUCAAGUGUCAACAGCACUGAGGUGGAGGAGCCUAUGCUCAGGUGUGCAUUUGUUAUGGUCUGUUUUCUCAGCAAAUUCACCUUGCGACAUCCUACCUCUGUGAAUACAUGUCCUUCUUACACUUUAGGUCAUACGUGAAGUUGAUCACCAUGCCAUUUAAUCUUUACCAAAACUGUUAAAUCAGAUGGAGUGCAGACUGCCAGAAUCCUCUAUUAAGUCAUUGCCAGGAUAGUGUGGGUAGCCACCGAGCAGGGGCCACACCUGGAAUCGGCUGACGUUCAAAUGGUCUCUCCAUUGACAACCUAUUGUGUGGCUGGGGGAAUUUUAUUUGAUGAAAAUGGGUCUCAGCUUCCUCCACCGUUGAACUGAGUCAUAACUAUAUAGUUAACACUAUAAAGUUUAGUGAGACACUUACAGCCCCAGUACUCAGGAGCUAGAGGCUGGAGGAUCACAAGGUUGAGAUUAGCCUGGGUGACAUAGCCAGUUCAGGGCCGUUGUGUAGCUAUUCAGUGAGACCUUGUCUAAAAAGACAAGGGCUGGGGCCAGUGAGAUGGUUCAGCAGGAAAAGUUGCCACCUGCCGACUUGCCAACCUGAGUCUCCAGUUCACAGAACUCAAAUGGUGGAAGGAAAGGAGCAACAAGCUGUCUCUGGCCUCCAUAUGCACACCCACACAGGAAUGAAUAAACAAAUAAAUAAAUGUGUGGGGUUAGCCGUCUCCCUGGUGGCUAAAAACAUUUAGUCGGUAUCAACGCAUUUCAGUCUAGUGACUAACCCAUAGGAAAUGGUAUUAACCAACUACCAUGUCAACUAGUUAAAUAUUCCGUAGUCAUACUAAUUUAAAGAGUUACACGUGCACACAUUCCCUAAUCUGUAAUCCCAGGCACAGCAUGAAUCUUCUGUGGCAGGACAUCAAUUCCCAGAAAGUGCUGAGAUCCCAGAGGAUGCUGGGAAAAGACAUGUUUCCUUCUGCAGAUCUAUCUGGCACCUCAUAGUCCAGGGCCCUCGCCUUUUCCUGAGUAGUGGGUAGAGACCAAGAUGAGUCUGUAGAUGAAUGUGUGUACAAGUGAAUCAACUCGGGGUUUAUACCCAACCUCUGACAGGUGCAGGGGACCCAGGGUGCAGCCAGAUGUGGCUGGUGUCUGGCAGGCAAAGUUUGCAUCUAAACCUCUGAGGUUUCAUUGGGUCCUGGGAGCAGUGGAAGCCUUUGGGCGUGGUGGAGGGGAAGUGUGUGAUUCUGUGUUAUACUCUCCCUGAAAAGCACAAGUUUUACUUGUCCUCAUCAUUAUACUUUUUUGCAUGACAAAAGGCAUAGCAUUUGAUUCAAAGCAUACCCUUCAACGUCCUUAAGUAUGGAUGAUGGCGGAGAAUGUUUGUUGCAAUCUUAGACAUGACACAGCUACACUCUGUUAGUUGCUUUUCUGUUGCUGUGAUAAAGCACCCAGACCAAAGGCAAGCUAUGGAAGAAAGGUUUAUUCUGGCUUACGGUUACAGAGAGUCCGUAGUGGUGGGGGAAUGAAAGCACCAAGCGGCAGGCAUGGUGGGCAGAACAGGCAGCUGAGAGAGCACAUCUUCAAUUUCAAACAUGAAGCAAUGAGAGCAACAUGGAAGCUGAGCAAGGCUAUAAAGUCUCAAAGCUGGCCCCCAGUGACACACUUUGUCCAGCAAGGCUAAAACACCUCCCAAAACAGUGCCACCCACUGGACACCAGCUCUUCAAACAACCAAGCCUGUGGGCGACAGUACCUACUUAAAUCACUACAAUAAAUAAAAUUCAAAAUCCCUGCCCUAGCCUGCAAAUGAGAUCUCUGGCUUAGAGCAGGAUCGAAGAAGGUUCACUCUUUGAACACGUGCAUGCUAGUACCCAGUUUACUUAUAUACACGAGACCUCAUUGUUCAGCUCAGGGAGACAGCUAAGUGAGCCUUAUCCCAUAGGGUAGCUUCACCCAGAUAAGUCAUCGUGUGAAUUCAUUUCAGUGUAGAAAGGUGGGCAAGCCAGGGGUGAGGUGGAGACAGACAUAUAAACUGUUACUCUCAGCAGCCAAGUUUUCGGAAAUCCCGUGGGUAGAGAGGAACGCUUCUGUUGGCUACAUGUAGACAGUGAGCGGGGUCAGGCUUUAGGAACCGGUGGGUGAAGACCUGAAGGAAGAGAGAGAGGGAGCAUGCGUGAGGAGGAAUAGCCAGGACCAAGGCAAGAGCAUCCUUCAGGCAGUUGAGAAAACAGCCCGCAGGCUGCAGCUGUGGGAGGCAGGGCAAGGUGAAAGGGAGGGAGUUUGUGCACCUGGAAAGGAUUUGGGGUUAAACUUGGGCAAGAGACGGGCAGUCGUUGGGGUUGGAAGAGGGAGAUGUUAGUCAAGCAAAAACAGUCAUGUAACAAUCACUACUGAGGUUGGGGGAAGAAUGGAUGUAGGGUUUUUAUCACUAUUUACUGUGUGUUUGGUUGUUAAUAUGGAAGGUUUCAAAUACAUCAGAAGAACACUUCAGAGAACACAGGGAAAGGUUUCAGGAAGAAUCAACAGUGACUAGUUGUGUUUGAAAAUGUCAUAAUGAAACUUAAUACUGUGUAUAUGCUAAUUAAAUUUAUUAUUAUUAUUAUUAUUAUUAUUAUUAUUAUUAUUAUUAUUUUGGUUUUUCGAGACAGGGUUUCUCUGUAUAGUUUUGGUGCCUGUCCUGGAUUUCACUCUGCAGACCAGGCUGGCCUCGAACUCACAGAGAUCCGCCUGGCUCUGCCUUCCGAGUGCUGGGAUUAAAGGCGUGUGCCGCCACCGCCGCCGCUGCCGCCUGGCCAAUUAAAAAAUUUUAAAUAAGUAAAAUGUAAUGUACAAAGUGAGAGAAAGGGAUUUUAAAAAGGCCUAUUAGAAGGUUCCUUCAAAUUCAGGGGAGAAGCGGUGGCGGCGUGGGCUGGUGACAUCGGAGCUGUGGAGAAGUGGGUGCGUUGUGGGUCUAUUUUAGGAAGUGGAGAGAAUUGGUUGAUGGGUUCGUAUGUGGAGUGGGAGAAAAUCGAGAGUCAAGGAUGACUGAGCAUCUGCAGGAAAGGAGUUGCCAUCCACGGAGAUGGGAAAGAGGGAGGGACGCCGGAAGUUCGAAAGUUCAGCCGAGCUUCCCACGCUUGUUAAAGUGAGUGGAGAUGGCAAGGCAGCAGCUGGAUGUGAGAGCCUGAGGCUGAGACAGGGUCAGGGGUGGAGCCGACAGUGUCUAGAGAGUGGCUAAUGGUUUCCCAGCCUCAGGCCUGGUCUCAAGAUGGUGCCAUGAUUUGGGGCGAUGGUAGAAACGGAGCUUGUUAGAGGGAGUUCAUCCCUGGGGUCUGUGUUUUUGAAGGUUACACCCGUCCUGGGUCUCAGUCACUGUCGUCCUGCUCGCCCGUUACACUUCCUGUCUUCAGAAGACCCCCGUGACGUUGUUGUACCCCACUACAGGAACACAGAGGCAAGCGACCGUGCCCGGCACACUCUGAAUCCUGGGUCUUCUUGAGCAGCUUACGCCAGGGAUUCGGAACUAGUACAACAGCACUUGAAGCCACGAGUCUGGAUGCUGUCACCACCGCCAUUCUCUCAUAUGCUGUGGUCCUAUCGAAAAUAAAAAGGCCCUUUCUUAUAUUAAAUAGCCCACAGUCACACAUACACAGUACACACACACACACACACACACACACACACACACACUUCACAUCUCUGAAUGUAAAACAAGCAAACAACCAAACAAUGGAUGAUCUGAGCCAUCGCAAUAUCAGGACUCUGAAUGCAUACGUAGUAAUCAUUUCUGUGAGGGCCACACUAUGCCAGCUAAUAAAUUAUGUGCUUCUGGGUCACACUAAGUGGAGUGCAUUGGUUCUGGCAGUGUGAGAAGAAAUAAUUUUACAUCUUGAAGGGUCGACUGGAAGACAAAUGAAGUCACUUCCUUUGCCGGUGCCAGUAAUCUCGGCAGCUGAAUAUAAAUUGUUUGGUAUAUUACUAUAUUACUAUGCCGGUCACCCUUCUAAUACAUCGCCAGUGGAGAUGCCCAUUGUCCUUUAAACCAGAGACCACAUGUGAGCUCUGGAUUGUGCUUCCUCCUCUGGGACUUGACUGAACAUGCUCCGUGGUGUCUUGCUUGUCUUCACAGAUACUUGCAGUAUUUUCUAAACUGACUAAUCACUGUAAUGGACAGCGGUACCCUUAGUGGCUACCUUAAGAAACAGUGAGUCGGGGGGCCAGGGUGAUGGAUCUGUGGGUAAAAGCACUUGGGUCCCAUCUCCCAGAGCCCACAUAAAAACCCAGAUCCUGUGAUUCCCAUCGGCAAACCCAGCACUCCGGCUGGGGCAUGGCAGGAAGAGGCAGGAGAAUCUCCGGGAAGCUCACAGGCACACUAGCCUGGGCUAUGCAAUACAGCUGUAGAAAUGAGAGAGACCCUCGAGGUGGAAGAGACCAGCUCUGGAAAACUGGUCCUCUAACCUCCACACAGGCACGGUGCCGUGUUGUGCACACACGUGCACUGGCACACAUAGAGGCACAUUUACACACUCACAUGCACAUAAGGCACAUUCAUACAUGUGCACACACAGGCACAUUUACACACACUCAUGCACACACAGGCACAUUCACACACGUGCACACACAGGCACAUUUACACACUCAUGCACACACAGGCACAAUCACAUACUCAUGCACACUGACACUCAUAGGCACUCACAUACACACACACUCAACAACAACAAUAACAAAUAAGUGAAAAAAGCAUAGUAAAGAAACAGCAAGUCAGUGUGGCGCUCAGGGAAUCUGCAUUUUGGCGUCUCCAUUUUUUUAUUUCCUCCGGCAGUUGGCACCUACAGCCAAAAUCUGAGGUAACGUGGGAUUAGGAUAUGGUAAUACCAGGUUCCUCCUGGGGAGACUCUUCCAUCCUGACCCCAAUGCCAUUCUCGACUUGACCUUCCAUGAGACUAGCUUUUGGUUUUCAUUCAUUUUGAAUAAAGCUAUUUAAAUGUGCAGGUCUUCAAUGGGAUUUACAUUUAAACGUGAUCUUAAGGGGAAAAGACCAGAAAAAAGAAAGAGAGCCUUGCUGUCGUUUCUUGGGGAGUGUGCUAGGAGUAUUCUCUUGAAACCACAAUCAUUUUCAAUUUUGUGGAGAGUCAUCAUGAGGUUCAUAUAGUAAUUCUAAGGUUUUGAGACAGGCCCUUCUUUAAACAUUUAUGUAUGUAUAUGUGUGUGUGCACGCGUGUGUGUGUGUGCACAUGUGUGUGCGCACAUACCACAGACUACACUGGAGCUCAGAGAACAACUUGCAGGAGUCAGUUCUCUCCUUCCACCGUGUGUGUCCCAGGGAUCCAGCAUCAGGGCCAGCAGCAGGUACCUUUACCCACUGAAUCAUUUCCCCAAGUGACCGCCCCCCCCAAGAGCCUGGGCCAUGCUCUCCUUUCCCACUUAAGUAAGGAACUUGCUGAGUUCUGCUGGCCUUUGCCCUAAAUCUCUUCCCAGAGUGAAAACUCCAAAAAGAACAAACAGCAUAUCCUUCCGCCCUGCUAAAACUCUUCUAGUGUCUUAAAAUUUAUUUAUUUUUUUUUCUGGUACUUUCUUUUCCCAAACCUUCUGUGACUUGUCUGGGGCUCACCUCUUCAACUGCUGCUCUUUCUUGCUCUCUCUUCAUCCCCACCAGGCUCUAGACUCAGCCCUUUUGUGACAAGAUGUUGUCAUCCACAAAUGCACUGGGCCACAUUAUGCCUAUCCUGAGAUACAGAUGGCCCCUGAGUCUCAGGUUAGACACACCCAUCUCCUUUCUGUGUAAGCAUGAAGGCCCCUUCUUUCUCUACUCUUCCUGGUCCCAGGAAUGUCUUCUCCCAGUCUUCACUGCGCUGCUUUUCUCUUCAAUGGGUCCUCUAAGGAUGAUACACCCUCAUUUUCUACAGAGCAUUUGCCACUAGUCGGUAGCUUUCUGUUUGUUGAUUGAUGUCUGGUUAAUUUUCUGUCUCCUCUCAGUAGAAUGUAGCAUCCGUGGGGAAGGAGAUCUUCCUAUUGGCUGUGGUGGUUUGAAUGACAAUACAAUGUCCUUCAUCAGCUUGGGUAUUCACACGCUUGGUCCUCAGUUGUUGGCACUGUUUAGGGAGGAUGUGGAACCUUUGGGGGGGUGGGGGUGGAGCCUUGCUGCAGGAAGUAGGUCAUUGGGGUGGGCUUUGAGUGUUUCUAGUCCCUCCCCACUUCCAGUUCGCUGUCUCUGCUUCAUGCUUGUUCAGGACAUGAUGUUGCUCCCUGUUCUUGCCGCUGUGUCUGCUGCUUGCUGCUCCGCUCUCGUGGUGGACGCGUACCUCUCUGGAGCUGUAAGCCAAAAUAACCUCUUCCUUCUGCAAGUUGUUCCUGGUCAUGGUAUUUUCCUCACAGUAGCAGGAAAGUAACAGAUAAUCAUUUAUCAAUGGCCUGCACAUGUCUAGGACGUUGAUUGGACCAAGGAAAUGAUUAAUAAGUAUUGAAUAAAUCAGUAAAUGAACACAUGAGCCAAGCUCAAUAGAAUGUACUUGUAGUCACAGGAGCCUACAGAAGUAUCUCUUAGAGUUUAAGAGUUCAAGGCCAGUUUGGGCAAUAUAGCAAGACCCUGUCUCAAAACUUUUUGUUUUAUUUGGUGUUUGUUUGUUUCAAGACAGUGUUUCUAGGUGGGCGGUGGUGGUGCACACCUUUAAUCCCAGCACUUGGGAGGCAGAGCCAGGUGGAUCUCUGUGAGUUCCAGGCCAGCCUGGUCUCCAAAGCAAGUUCCAGGAAAGGCGCAAAGCUACACAGAGAAACCCUGUCUCGAAAAAAAAACAAACAAACAACCCCCCCCCAAAAAAAACCAACCAAAAAAAAGACAGUGUUUCUGUAUGUAGCCUUGGCUAUCCUGGAACUCCCUCUGUAGAUCAGGCUGGCCUUGAACUCAAAGAGAUCCACCUGCCUCUGCCUCCCAAGUGCUAGGAUUAAAGGUGAGUUUACCACCACUGCCCGACUUUCUGUCUCAAAACUUAAAAAAAAAAGAUAGACAUAUGGAUAGAUGGAUGGAUGAAUGGGUAGACAGACAGACAGAUAUAUAAAAAUAAGACAAAUUGGCAGGACUGAUUUGAACCAAAUUGAUAAAGGUGGUUGUCCAGGUAUAGGAAAAAGAACAGACAUAUCUUAUUUGUUUUUGUUUGUUUGUUUUUACCAUAAAAAGAGACAUGGGUAUAGGUAAUUUUAGGGAUUCUCUUUUGUGUUGUAUGAAUUUCCAUAUUUUGUAAUAUAAACAGGUUUCAUUUGAAACCAGAAAAGCCGAAUGCUGUCUCGAAGGUAACUACUAACCUCUUUCCCGUUGUUGGAGCAGGCUGGCUUCCCUCUUCUUUCCCCAGACACUGUUGCUUUUGUUUUCUACAAAGGACAUAGUCAUUUAUUUUGGUGUGAGCCCACAUAUUAGAAUAUUUUCUGAAUAGGUAUGUGUGUAGGUUUUCUUGAUCAUCACUAAGGGAAAAACAGAAGACUUAGAUGGUCUCCAUGGCAACGAAUGCAGAGCUAAGGCUGAUCCCUGAGGAUAACAACAGCAGCAGAUAUUCCAGCCAUGGAAGGUGUCUUGGCUUGCCUCCAGGCCACACAUUCAUUUGUCUGAGUGCCAGUCUCGGGGUCCAUCUUUAGCCCCAGGCUCUCUGCUCUCCAAACGCGAUGGGAGCCAGCGCUGGGGGAGCCUCCUGCCCUGGCAUGACUGCUUCAGCAAGCUGUUGCUCCCAACACUCACGGCUGCCAUCUGAAGUCCGCCCGUCCUUUGCUCUCAGAAUCUAAUCCUGGAAUGAAGUGCAGCUUGAGUCACAGUUACUAUAAUCUCUUGUCUGCAGAGGACGUCUUUUAAGAAUCCUAGUGAUGCUUGGAAGCUGGACAGUGCUGAACCCUACUGGGUUUUCUAUACAUGGGAGCCUGUGAUAAAGGCCUCCUUCCCCCUCCUCACCCCUUCUCUCUUUUCUUUUCUUUUUUUGAGACAGAGUCUCAUGCAGCUCAAAGUGGCCUCAGACUUACUAUGUAGCUGAAGAGGACCCUGAACUCUUCCUGUCUUGAACGUGCCACCCUGGCUGGGUCAUGGGGUGUUCAGGCAUCUGCUCAGAUGUAUUAUAGGAAUGCUUCUGUUAGAGUGUUAUAAGCAGCUUUAACAUUUGAAUCCGUGGACUGAGCCAAACAAAUUGCCUCUGUGGCUGGGCUUCCCCCACUGAACACAAAGGCUGAGAAAGGGAAUGUCCCUGCUCCCAAGCUUAUGCUGGGCCUGGGCUCCUGCUUUGAACAGAGGAACCCUGCUUCCUGUCAGGUACUUGGUCACAGCUAGAAGAGAAGCAACUCAGAAAAGAGGUGUUGAAACUUUGUCUUAGAACCUUAUGGUAUUCUCAAAAAUCACUCAGCAGUUUCUUUUUCCCUGCCUGAUCUGAUUAUUGAUAUGUAUUCUUCCAGAAACGGAAGCAGGAAAAUUGUAAAUUUAAAGUCUAUCCAUUAAAAUCCAUAAACCCAUCCAACAUAUCUGUUUAUGGAAAAUAAGUUUUUGAAAGGAAAUGAAAUUUAAUGAGAAGAGUGGUACAUUUUCCACUAAGGAUAUUGAAGUCAUGCAUGUUCUCUGGCAUCCAGUCUCUAGUGAGAUUUUUUUUUGUUUGUUUGUUUGUUUUUCAAGACAGGGUUUCUCUGUGUAGAUUUGGUGCCUGUCCUAGAUCUCACUCUGUAGACCAGGCUGGCCUCCAACUCACAGAGAUCCGCCUGGCUCUGUCUCCUGAGUGCUGGGAUUAAAGGUGUGCGCCACUACCGCCCAGCUCUCUGGUGAGAUUUUGCUCUUGUUGAAGGAGAGGAAACAGAUUUGGUCUUUCAUGAACGUGAAGUUGGGGAGGAAAGGGUAUUUGAAGGACUUAUUCUUUGAUAUUAUAACAACACAGGCCAGCUCUCGUUGUACUAACCCCAAAACCAACUGCUCACACUGCUGUUAAAAAUUGUUGCCCCAAGGGGCUUGAGAGAUGGCUCAGCACCUAAGAGCACUUGCUGCUCUUCCAGAGGACCAGAGUUCAGUUCCCAGCACCCACACCAAGGAGCACACAACCUUCUUGUAAUUCCAGCUCCUGUGGAUCAGAGGCCUCUGGUCUCCCCCCAGCACUGCACUCACAUGCAUAUACUCAACAAGCAAAUACACACAGUUACACAAGAUGAAAAAUAAUAAAAAUAAGUUUAAAAAAAAUUGUUGACCUGGGCCAGUGUGAUGGCUCAGUGAGUUAAAAGUACUUGCUCCACAAGCCUACUUGAGUUGGAUUCCCAGAAUACAUCCAUGUAAAAGAGCUGCAUACAAUAGUUUACAGCUAUAAUCCUCGACUUCUACAGAGAGAUGAGAGACGGGAGAAUUAAGCUCAUGGGUCAGCUAGGCUGGAGUACAAAGAGCAUCAGGAGUGAAUAGAGAGCCCCUACCUCAAGAGAGUGGAAAGCAAGUCAACUCCCAAGAGUGGUCCUCUGACCUUCACAGGCAUGCUAUAGUGUGAGCAUGCACACAUGCAUACACAUGCACGUGCGUGCACACACAUACACACACACACACACACACACACACACACACACACACACACACACAGAUCAUUUAAAUAUAACUGAGCAGUACUCCAUCCUGGAUGCAACAUUUUUCCAACAUAUGGUUGUAUAACACUGAGCAUUGAUAACUUAGAACACGGCACUUUCCUGGUUAACACAGCUUUUCCAAAUGUUGGUGCUAUCAUGGGAUAGUUCUGAACAUACCACUUUUGUUAAUAUAGGGAACCACUGAUCUUUUUGAAAGAGUCCUUAAACUCACAGAAAAAUUUAAGUGCACAGUAGAUCUGUUUUCAAUAUUCAUUUGGGGACGGGUGGGCACAAAGUCUCAUGUUCAUGUAAUCCGGGCUAUCUUCAUAUUCACCAAGUAGCCAAGGAUGCUCUUGAACUUCCAAUCCUCCAGCCUCCAUUCAUUAUUUGAUUUGGAUGUGAAAGUUCAACUUUUAGAUAGCAAAUAUCCCAGUUGUUUUACAUGAAGUGCCAGACUUAAGGCAAAUGCUGGGGCUGAAGAGAUGGCUCAGCAGUUAAGAGCACUUGCUGUACAAGGUAAGGAUCUGAGUUCAAAUCCCUAGCACUGACCAUAAAAAUUAGGGCUGUUCCCGAGAGGGUGCUGAAGAACUUUCUCAGGUCAAAAACUAUAGGCCACAUUUGUCUUUGUGUCUCAGAAAGUUGUUGAGUUUGGGCGAGAUAGUAGAAGCUUCCCAAAUGUGACUAAGGGAAGAAAAUGAAUGAUCGGAUGAUUGAAUGAAGCUCUGACCAACUGCUUUUCCUCUCUGCAGGCAUCUUCAGUUGUGUGUGACAGUCUCUUGAGACAUUCCUCAGUAGCUGCAGGAGGCUGGGCUUUGGACCACCUUUGGCCACCUCUCUGUGUCUUUAAGAUCCAGUCACAUGAAAGACAGCUGACAUACUAACCCCCUCAUCUGCCGUCUUCAGUCAGGGGCACUGAAGGUUUACUAACUAUGAUGUGUCCUCAUGAAAGACCCAUCAGGAAAUCAAAGAGCCUUAUGGUGAGACAGGCCUGCUGAGGCAGGGGGCUAAAAGUCACGUUUGAACAUCUGCAGCUUGUCAUCACCAGCCUGCGCCUGCCUCGAGAGCUGGCGCCAUUUCUAGUGACUUCUUGUAGGUCGCACCCGAUUCAAAACCCCUCGUGAAGGUUGGUGGUGACAGAGAAGCAAGCUUUGGGAGACUUCCAGAUGUGACUCAUUCACAGUCACUGUGUGCAGAAAGAUGAGAGAAUUUUGAAGACCCUUUAUCAUUCAUUUUUGUCAGGGCGAUUUCUUUUGUUACUAAGAAGAAACAGAGUGACAGAUAGAAGGGCUGUAGGGGUGACUCAGUCAGUACAGUGCUCGCUGGGUCUGAAUUUGAUCCCUAGGACUCACCUGUUAAAAAAAAAAUACCUAGGCAGCAUGGGUCUGUAAUGCCCGCCGUGAGAAAGCAGAAACAAGUGCAUAAGUGGAUCCCUUGGGCUUGCUUGGUUGGUCAGUCUAGCCAACGGAUGAGCUCCAGGUUCAGUGAGAGAUCCUGACUAACAGAUAAAUAAAUCAAAUAAUAUGGAUAGUGAAGGAAAACAUUGAUGUCGACCACUGGCCUCCACAUAUGCGCACAUGCAUGCACACACAUGUGAACAUGUAUACACAUACACAUGUUAGAGAGAGAGUCUAAAUGAUUUCUGUAGCCCUUGACCUUCCAAGAGUAACUCCAUGCCCAUCAGGACCCAGUUCUUUUUCUCUUAGGACACACUGCUUGCGUUCAGUAAAUUCCAACUCAUAGAAACAAACAGCGUGUAAUACCCUACACAUCUCCAGAGUACCUCCCCCCCACCCCCCGCUCCCUCUCUCUCCACUUAUAUGACUAUUAAUCCAUCUCUUCUGGGUUGUGUGUCUCUGGAUACAGGAACUUCUACCUUGAGUUAACCAAGAAACACUGAUAGCUUCAACAUAGAGACAAUGAGAUGGACUAUAGAUAGAAUUUGAAGAUCAAGUCCAGGAAGGCUUGCUUAGGAAUUGGACAUAAGGGAAGAGGCAACCCCUGUGAAAGGAGACAUUCAAUUCUAAGGGGGUGGUGACUCACAAGUUGAGAACCACUGCUGUACAAAGAUAUGGAAGAAAGAAGUUUUUGCUCUUUACCUGCUUAUUCUCACCUUGCUAGCAAGUCAAUUCCUUCACUGACAUUACAGCCUACUUCUUUGGGAUUCCAGUGUGUACUGAAGACCAACAGAGACAUCCAGCUUCAUGGACCAAACAACUACCCGAUUCUUGGACUGUCCAUUCAUAGGCAGCCAUUGUUGGAUUAGCUGGACCACAGCCUGUAGGUCAUUCUAAUAAAUCCCCUUUAUAUAUAUACAGAGAGAUUCAUUCUAUAAGUUCUGUUUCUCUAGAGAAUCUUGACUAAUACAAUGUGUUUUCAUCUCAAUCUCUUGUUGACCAGGAUCUCCCUAUAGCUAAGCCUCUUACUCUGCUUUCCCGUGUGAAUGUUCACGUAUGUGGGGAUGCAUGCAAAUAUGAGUGUUAUGUGUGCACACAUAUGCGCACAUGUGUGUAGCCUAGAGAUUAACCUCUGGUGUCAUUCUGCUAGAGUUGUCCAUCUUGUGUUUUUGAUAUAGGGUCUCUUAAUGAUCUGGAAAUCACCAAACAGACUUGGUUUACUGGCCAGUGAGCCUGCAUGGGUGCAUCCCACACUUAGCUUUACAUGGCCUCUAGGGGCCAAACUCAGUUCCUUGUACUUGCAAGGAAGCAUUUUAGCAUCUAAACUGUGUCUCUGGCAUCUCUUACUCUGCUUUUAAUGACAGUGUGGCAAAGUCCUGGCCUGACAGAACAAAACAAAACAAAAACUACGAAGUUCUUGACAUGAGUGCUACAUGUCCCUAAGGUUUGAGAGCCAACUGCAAACACAGAUGAGCUAUUUAAUAUGCCUGGGUAUUUCUCCAUCAUGACACUACCGUUGUCAUCAUUAUGAUAGAAGACAGGCUUGUUUCUCUCUUUGUGCCCUUUCACCUUUCCCAGGGAUCCCACCACCUGCCAUAUCCUGGACUUUCUAGCUCUUUUGCUUUUUAAAAAGACAGUCGGAAGACCAUCCACCUGCUGUUUGCCUGCAAUUCAGGAAAUGAACAUCAUACCAUAUGGGCUCUUUAGCACCCACCCACGUGGCCCUAGACACAAGCAGUGGAUCCUCUGGCAGCUGGGACAGGUGCCACUAGGGUGGCUGCUUUGCUUGGAAAUGACACAGCUUUUUUUUUUUAUAAAUCUCCAUUACAUUUUUAUUGCACAUAUACAGAAUUAAUUUUGGUCUUCUCACUAACUGCAGACAGAUUCAGAAUUUCUCUGACUGUCCAUCUCACACAGCCCAACAAUAACCAAAAAAAAUGAUAUCAGUGACAUGUUGUAGAAUAUUAGUUAAAGAUGUGCUAUAUUUGUUUAUGCUGUGGAACGUUUGUUUAAUGAUGGAAAGAUGUAUUGCAUUCUUUUAUAUUGCAUUUGUUUAAACCCGUGAAGUUGUGUUACUGAGCCUGUCUAAAACACCUGAUUGGUCUAAUAAAGAGCUGAACAGCCAAUGGAUAGGCAGGACUGGCAGGCAGAGAGAAAAAAUAGGAGGAGAAAUCUAGGAAGAAAGAGAUCUAGGAUUGAGAGAAGGAGGAGGACUCCAGGGACCAGCCACCCAGCUACACAGCAACCACAGAGUAAGAAGUAAAGAAAGGUCUGUAGAAUAAAGGUAAAAGCCCAGAGACAAAAGGUAGGUGGGAUAAUUUAAGUUAAGAAAAGCUGACUAGAAAUAAGCCAAGCUAAGGCCAGGCAUUCAUAAAUAAGAGUAAGACUCUGUGUGAUUAUUUGGGGGCUGGGUGGUGGGCCCCCCAAAGAGCAAAGAACCAAAAGAGUUAAAAAAAAAAAAAAGCAGCCAACUCCAGUGACAGCUUUGCAAUUAAAUUCCAACCAACCGUACUAACUUAAUAGAGUGAAUAAAGGUAAGAUGUGAUUCAAGGUAAGAUGUGGGGCUGCCACUCAACCCCCCCCCCAUGACAUAUUUCUUCCAGCAAGACCUCACCUCCAAAACCUCCACAAACAGCACCACCAAGUGGUGACCAAGUGCUCAAAUAUCUGAGCCCAUGGGGGACAUUCUCAUUUACACUCUCACAGACAUCUACCAGAUAUGUACUACUGAUGCUCAGGUAUUGUACUUUGUUAUUCAUUUCUUUAAAUUAAAAACAAAGGCAUGAAAGUAGAAAGACUAGGAAGAGGAAGGAGAUUAUCAGGAGUUGGGGUGGGGUCAAAAGUGAGUACUGGGUUCGGAUGAAUCAAAAUAUAUUAUGUACGUGUAUGAAAAUGUCAAAAACCCAGACUUAUAUUUCAUUAAUAUACAAUAAUCAAAACGC